CCUACGGGGUGCUGCAGUGGGGAAUAUUGGACAAUGGGCGAAAGCCUGAUCCAGCCAUGCCGCGUGUGUGAAGAAGGCCUUCGGGUUGUAAAGCACUUUCAGUGGGGAAGAAAGCCUUGGGGCUAAUACCCUCGAGGAAGGACAUCACCCACAGAAGAAGCACCGGCUAACUCCGUGCCAGCAGCCGCGGUAAUACGGAGGGUGCGAGCGUUAAUCGGAAUUACUGGGCGUAAAGCGCGCGUAGGUGGUCUGAUAAGCCGGUUGUGAAAGCCCCGGGCUCAACCUGGGAACGGCAUCCGGAACUGUCAGGCUAGAGUGCAGGAGAGGAAGGUAGAAUUCCCGGUGUAGCGGUGAAAUGCGUAGAGAUCGGGAGGAAUACCAGUGGCGAAGGCGGCCUUCUGGACUGACACUGACGCUGAGGUGCGAAAGCGUGGGUAGCAAACAGGAUUAGAUACCCCAGUAGUC
rnacentral:rRNA from 1 species